GUGCAGCAGUCGAGAAACUUCGCAAUGGGGAAACCCUGACGAGGGAUUCCAAGUGCCAGCACACAGUGUUGGCUGUUCUUCUGUCCAAAACGCAGGAGAAGUAAGGGCCGGGUAAGACGGGUGCCAGCCGCCGCGGUAAUACCCGCGGCCCGAGUGGUGGUCGAUUUUAUUGAGCCUAAAACGUCCGUAGCCUGCUUGGUAAAUCCUUGGGU
rnacentral:rRNA from 1 species